UUUCCUGAAUAAAGUCUUUGGUGCGCAUCUAGAUGUCUGAGUCUUUGGUGUGCAUUUAGUUUUACUGAGGGUCUUUGGUGUGCACCUCCGUUUCAGAAGUGAAGAGUCUUUGGUGUGCAUCUACGCUUCUCAAGUGUGAAACUCAAAGCAGCCCCAGGGCCAAGCGUACCGCUGCACGAUUACUCGACGACGGAGACGCGGCUUGACGCAAGCCGGCGAUCGCUAAGACUGGUGGGCGUGUCUUGGCCUGGCGGGAACGAAACCUCGGCAACCCAGGAACCAACUCGCCCUCAGUCGAUCCAUUUCGCGGAGUCCCGGUGAGCGAAGAUCGUUUAAUUCACGUUCUUGCGUUUCCCCUCGAUUGGACCACCACGAACCAACUUUUAUCGAUCCCGGGAGGCUAUUGAGGGUGUCUCUGAUACCUCGAAAGGUACCGCAUGGUGAGGUGUGCGCGGGAUACAUUUUACACGAUAACUGGUGAUGAUGAUGACGAUCCAUCUAUCUGUCGCACACCUGGACCAUUAUCUGUGCAUCGAAUUGUCGGUCGUGUUGAGGUGAGGUCUCACAGAUGGUGUGCCCUUCUCGACCUUCUUGCUCGGGGGAUUUGGAAUUGAAUGUGCCUGCAGGUGUCAGUGUCGAUGAUCGUGGGACUCCACGAGUUUCUCUGUUCUCAAGAGCAAAGCACCCGUGCCUCUGAAAACAUUCCCACGGCCCCUUUGCCGAGGCAGUGUCACCUCCCAGGCCAGUCCCUGGCGCGAGGGCCAAGCUCCCAUCGGAGAAAGUACCCGGCUCCGGUCAACAAUUCUCUCAAAUCUCUUCGAGAAAAGACGCAGGUUUGAGAACUUCACCGAUCCCCAGGGUAACGCCCCGAACUUCUUGGCGAGUAGGACAUUGCCCAGGGGCGCGGCUUUAUGUGCAUCUCAAGGUGCUCACUACAAGGUCCUAUGACCUCCUCGUAAAGACUCCAGAAUCGGUGGCCCAAAGUCUCUCUGGCGACGUGACACAUCCUCUGGCCACAAGCCGCCCAGAUGCCCAUGUAUCUGGUUUGAAGUCCCUCGGCCGAUAUGGCAGAUCCUCCCGGAUGACCCAAACCAUCCUGAUCUCCGUGUAAAUACCCAGCUCUCUCUUGGCAAAGUAGCGGGUGGCCCACGAUCAAAACCUUUCCAGGUGCCCCCUUUGUGCAAUGUCACCUAGUUCUCUGGAGAGCGAGGCCUCGCAUCUCCCGAGUGCAGCUGCACAACUUCGCCCAGGUCCCCACCCCCCCCCACGACGCUCCAGACGAACGACGACCAGGACGGGACGGGCAGGGUCGUCGGCUCGCGGGACCCGCAGCUGCCG